ensembl:lncRNA
UUCAGGAAAAAAAAGCCUUUCAAGGAGAUUUUUGUGUAAAUAUGAUUCAGAUUUUGUAAUUAUUAGGUAUGUAAGUCAUGUGGUCCUGUUAAACUACAACCUCCAAAAUACUUUUCUUUUGUGAAUGCAAAAUGUCAAACAUAUAAUUUGGAAGAAGAAAAUGUUUAUGCAGAGCUGAAAGGAUUUAUUUUGAAUAUCUAGCUGCUCCCAGUGUCUGAGUUUUGUGUUUUUUUUUAACGGCAGUAAAAUGAAUAUUUUGGAGUUUUAGAUUGUUGAUUCAGACAUUUGAAGACUUGGACUCUGAGAAACUUACAUUUUUUGACUUUUAUUGACCAGAAGAUUUAUACGAUAUAAAAAGUAUUAAUGGAAAUAAUCGUCCAAUAAAAGGACUCUUACGAUGAUGUUUUUUGGAUGUAUAAAGUUUGGAUGUUUUUAAGGACAGAGUCUCUAACAGGAACUGGACCGGACUGCGGACCUUCACGUCUCUCUAGGUCUGACCCACUCGGUCUUUCGUUUCCUGAAAUGAAUCCAGCGAUUAGAUGGAGCCGAUCUGAACAGAAAUCAAAAGAAAAACUAAAGACUUUUGUUGUUUUUCUUUUUUUGACUUGCAGUGGUUCAGUAUUUCUCUCUCUGUCUCUAUAAACACAUUUUGGACAAAGUGUUUUGAUAGUGAAAAAAAAAGCAGAUAUUAUGAAUAUUAUUAUUGUUACACUACGAUGAACUGAAAAGACUUGUUGUUGGAUAUUUCUGUGUUUAUGAGUCUGGAUUGUGUUGAUGUUUGCUUGAUGCAAGUUGAUGCAAGAAGAAAACAAAGCAAAGAUUUUGUAAAUAUAUAAUUUAUUCUCCCGUGACCCUGUCAGGUCAUGUGACUGUGUAAAGGUUAAAAGGUUAACGCUUGCUGUUCCUCUGCACAGCCAGAGCCACGCAGACGGUUCGAGGACUGACGGGGUGAAGGUUAAAGGAACAACCUGACGUUUCAGUGACGUCUGUAGCUGUGAGAUCGAACACUGGAAGCAGGGGGAACCUGUUAGCAUAGAAAGGAAAAGAAAAUACUGCCCGGCCAAAAAGAAACGUCACACACUUUUAUGGUUUUUUGGACCGCCUUUUUGCAUUGGCACAACAAAUUUAUUUCCAUCCAGAGUUGUAGUCAUUUAUUGACACCAAGGUCUUUGAUGAUUGAAGAUUCGAAUCCCUGUCUUAAAGAGUCUCAAAGGGGUUAUGGUCUGGACUCUGUGGUGGCCAAUCUGAUUUGAACCUGAUGCAUCCUGGCAAAUCCAAUCAUUCAUGUGGUCAGCUGACCCGUUCUAGGUCACAUGACAUUGCUGAACCAUGACCUGACCAACUGAAGAAACCCCAGAUCAUAGUCGUCAUAACCUUUGUCCAGUGGUCCAGAGUCUGAUCUUUAUAACAAAUCAAAGCCCUUCUUUUCAAUUAGCUUCACCAAUAAUUGCUUUUCUUAAGGAGACACAGAUGUUUUGUCCCAAUCCCUGCGUGAGGAAAUUGAUUUUUUUACAAGUUCACCAAACGUUGAAAUGACAGCCGAUCACACUCAUUCAAGACGUUUAUCAGACCACAUAUCUUCUUUGAAGAUGAUGGUUCAACACUUUCUGGAUAAUUCUUAAACCAGUUCUAUGAUUUUCAGUAAUCUGUUUUGCUUGAAGCGAUAAUUUGACCUUCUAGUAAGAAAGCAACAUGUUUUCCAUGACCCAGGAUACGUCUUCUGACAGUUUUUAAAAAAUAAGAAGCUACUCAUAUUAAUCACUGCACUAAUUAUCCAGUGGAUAGCUCUUGCCUAUUUGCUUAUUGAACUCUAGAUAGUGACUUUUUUUUGGUUUGGCAGUGGAUAAACUGUUAUAAAAUAGCUGGUAGAGAGGAGUGUAAUAUGUCGAUGUGGUGGUUAUCUUUGAACGGAGUUUAAAAGGCGGCGCUUUUCCAGGACAGCUUUCUAAAGUUUUCUGUCAGAGUUGAUCAAAAUUCUGCUCAAGAUGGUGGAAGUUGUAAAAUUAGACAGGAAGAAAUUCAAGUGAAGAAAGUUAAAAGAAGUUGAAGAGUAAUUGCAACAGGCUGCAUGCUACUGCUUUGCCUCGUUAACAGACUGUUAAUCAGUUAUUGGUGGUCGCUGAUAAAGCUAAAAUACCAAAGAUGUGCUUGUUCCUGCUCCUUUCUUUCCUUUUCUGCUGGACCGUCACAGUUUAAAGGCCAAGCUACUCAUCAAAACUCAGUCAAAAUCAUGAAACUUGUGUUAGUUAUCAAGGUUAUCGGUUAGUGGCCGGCCACUGCCUUCCAUACUGUCGAUGUCUGUUUCCCAUCAUGCCCCCUCUGUAAGAAGAUAAAA